rnacentral:lncRNA from 1 species
CUGGCUGUUUCCUCUGCCGUGACCGCAUGUGAGCAAGCUAUAAAAUGGCACAUUUUUGUCAGUAGAUCGACCCCUACCAUGACUGCUGUCUUCCCCCUUGACUUGGGCAAAUCUGUCAUAAAAUCGAUGGAUACCACCUCCCAGGGUCUUCCCGGCGUGGGUAAGGGUUCUAGUAACCCUGCUGGGGCAGCCCUCUCCCCCUUUGCCCUCUGGCAGCAGUCGCACCCCCGUACAUAUUCCCGUACAUCUUCCCUUACCCUUGGCCACCAGAACUGCCGGGUGACAAGCAACAUGGUUUUGUGUUGACCAAAGUGCCCCGCUGUUGGGCUGUCGUGGAGUUGUUUGAGUACCCUUCCCCUCAAGGUCUCCCCCGGUACAUACAGCCCCCCCUUGUAGUACAGUAGCCCUUCCUUUUCCUCAAACCCUCCAUGGUUUUCCCUUCCGUCCCGGAUUUCCCGGAUUUUAGUUUGAGCGAAUUCGUCGUUUCUAGUAAGCCCGGCCAGUUCUCGUUUCCCAACCAACACUCCCCCCCACACCCAUCGGUUCUCGGGGAACACGUGUCUGACUUCCGGCGGUCCGUCUCCUUCCAUGUACUCCGGCUUCCGGGAGAGCAUCUGCUCUUACGUUUUCCUCUCCCGGUACGUACCAGAUCUCGAAGGAAAACUUGGAGAACUCCUGUGCCCAUCGAAUCUGUCUCUGGUUGAGUACUCGCGCAGUCCUCCAGUAUUCCAAGUUCUUGUGAUCCGUACACACCUGGAUCUUGUGCUGCGCCCCUAUUAGCAGAUGUCUCCAUCGUCGAAAUGCUGCAUAAAUUGCUAGCAAUUCGCGGUCAUACACCGUGUAGUUUUGCUCCGACUUGCUCAGCUUCCUCGAGAAAAACGCGCACGGCCUCCAGCGCUGCUGGGCCCCUGGCUGCAACAGUACCGCUCCGAUGGCUCGGUCUGACGCGUCGGUCUCCAGUCUCAUUGGCUUCUGCAAAUCCACGUGCAGGAGCUGCUCUUCCGAAGCGAACGCCUUCUUCAGUCUCUCAAAGGAUUGCUGGGCACUUUCUGUCCAGACAAACUUCUUUUUGCUACUGAGACAAUCUGUGAUGGGCGCUGUCAAGUGGGCGAAGUUCUUGAUGAACUUCCUGUAGAAGUUGCUGAACCCUAGGAACCUCUGCACGUCCUUCCGGGUUUUGGGGGCCUUCCAUUCCAGCACCGCCUGCACCUUGCUUGGGUCCAUAGCUAGGCCUUUGUCUGACAACUUGUACCCCAGAAACUCGACUUCUCUGGCGUGAAACUGACAUUUUUCCAGCUUGACCCACAACUGGUGCUUCUGCAGUCUCUUUAGCACUUCCCUGACGUCUCUGACAUGUUGCUUCUCAUUGUCCGAAUAGAUUAAGACGUCGUCCAAGAAGGCUACGCAGUUCUUGUACAGCAGGGACCCCAACACGUGGUGCAUGAAAGCUUGAAAACAGGCGGAGCCCGACUGUAAUCCAAAUGGCAUAACUAAGUACUCAAAGGCCCCCAGAGGGGUGAACAUUGUGGUCUUCCAUUCGUCCCCCUCCCUCAUCCUAAUCAAAUUGUAUGCUCCCCUGAGGUCCAGCUUGGUAAAAAUUUUCCCCUGCCUCACCCGUGUUAAAAUGUUGUCAAUCCUGGGCAUUGGGAAGGUCACGGGUUCCGACACCAGGUUGACGCCCCAGUAGUCCACAACGAGCCUGGGUUGAUUAGUAUCUUUUUUGUCCACAAAGAACACCGGACUGCCCCCCACCGCCUUUGAUUCUCUUAUGAAACCUCUUUUCAGGUUCUUGUCAAUAAACUCCCGCAACUCCUUCAUCUCCCUGUCCGACAUGGCAUACAGUUUACCCACCGGCAGCUGAGCCCCUGGGAGCAAGUUGAUUUGGCAGUCAAAGGGUCUAUGAGGGGGUAUUCUAUCCGCCUCCUUCUCGCUGAAGACCUCCUGCAGGUAAGCAUAUUGUGGUGUCACCUCCCCUUUCGGUUCCACAGCUAUCCCAGCCACCCUGGCCGCGGUCAUCCUUGGGGUUUCCCCCCCAGACAGUUCCAAGCAGUGAGCUGACCCAAAGUUGACCGUCCGCUGAUCAUGUAGUGCCAGCCAGCUCAUCCCUAAUAUUAUUGGGGGCCCUGCCAGUGUGGCUACGUGAAAGGCAAUGGUCUCCGUGUGCCUGGAAACCCUCAUUCUCAUUGGUGGGGUCUGGUGCGUCACUUCCCCUCCCAGAAGCUCCCUGCCAUCAAUAGUGGUCACUUGCAAGGGAAAAUCCAGGGGCAGCAGGUGGAGCUGGUGCUCUAGGGCGAAGUCCUUGCUGAAGAAAUUGCAGGAGCUGCCUGAAUCCAGCAGCCCCUUCACCUUGACUGGGUGCCCAUUCGGCAGUUCUAGCACCAGUUCUAUGGCUAUAGCCGCCCUGGGGGGGUCUGGCUGGGGCACUUCUAUUGGUUGCUGGCCUGGCUGCUGUGCCCGCUGAUCGGCAGCCAAGCGUUGGCGUUUCCCUGCUCCUGCCCCUUUUCCCCCUCCUCCUCACCGCCAGCAGCUCCCACCAUCCCUUGCCAGGCCUUUCUUUGAGGGCAGACCCUGGCAAAAUGUCCUGGCCGUUGGCAGAGGAAACACUUCUUGGUGGUUUUCCAAUCCUUUCCCUCCCUCUUGCGACCUUCACUGGAGUUUGAAACCUCGUGCGCGCGUGCGCCACCUAUUUCCAUUGGCUCAGCCGGCGGGGAAGGCUGCCUCGGUAUUUCAGGAAUGCGGUAGUCAUGGCAAUGUUCCCCUCUCCCUUCGCGCUUCUCCUGAGCCCGCGCUUCCUGUCUUAUGCCAAUCGCAAGCACAGCCUUGGUCAGCUGAUCCAUCGACUGCGGGCGUCGCGUGCGGGAAAGCUCGUCCUUCACCGUUGGGGACAACCCCUCCUCAAACAACAUUUGAAUGGGUUCAGAGUCCAAUUCCCACCCGAGCCGGUGGAUUAACAUUGCAAAGCGCGACCAGUAGUCUCUCACUGACUGGUUCCCCUGUUUGCAUCCCAACAGUUCCCGCCGAGUCACACUUUGCUGCACAUCACUGGAAUACAUCGCAUCCAUCGCCUGGAAGAAUUUCCUAAGGUCUUUCAAGGCGGCAUUUUGCGUUGCCAUUAGGGGCCUGAUCCAUUCCCUGGCCCCAUCCUGUAGAUGCCCGACAAUAUAGGCCACCCUCUCCCCAUCGUCAGCAAAAUCCUUCUGCUGCAGUUCCAAAGCGUACUCUAUUUCCAUUCGGAACGCGUUGUAGUCCUGGGGCUUCCCCCCAAACUUGUGUACCAGUCCCGGUACCUUCCUUGCUACGGGGGUGGGUCUGACCUGUGCAUCAUGAGCCCGCCUUUCGUCCAACCGCGCCGUCAGAAGAGCCACAUGCUGUUCCAAAUCUCAGUUCCUCUCCACCAGAUUUUGCACUCCAGCUGCUCCCUCCGUGGCGCCGGCUUCUCCGGUUUGGCUCAUUAUGCUGCCUGCCUGUCGCUGCGCACAAGCAACGUCAGAGACUGACGGAUUGCUGUAAUAAUAAUAGGGGUUGCUCGUGCGUAAGUUGCCGCCACUCCUGGCUAGGUUGCCUGGUUAAACAUUUUCUGUCUGGACAGCCCUUCACUUCGUGACUGUUUCAGUCUCUGGCAGAAUCCGUCAGUGGGCGUUUCUUAAACCUUUUCCAGCAUAAAAGUUGUUUGACUCCAAGUCUCCUCCUACUCUCCCUGCGCGGAAGUCUUCUGCAAGGGAGGGUGUGGGUAGCGGAGGACCCGUGCUCUCCCCGCUGGUCUCUGGCGAGGAGUCCUGGAGCCCCCUUGCCGAUUCCCCCAUCUGCCCCCCUUUAUCCCUGGUGUUACGCUGAAUUCCUUCCCCAGCUGAUGAGCUGCCUCUCUCCCUGCUGGGCCCUUCUCCAGCAUCACUUGGGAGCCUUGCCUCCGCCUCUGGCUCCGAUGUCAGUUCCCUGACAAUGAAGUAUGGGAUAGAAACAAGAAUCUGUUAGAAAGGAAAACACCGAAGGUUGUUGAAAAACGCUGCUCUAAUUGGUUCCAACCCAAUUUCUUUUGCAGGCCAGAGAUGCUGGAUGCUGCAAGGAACAAAGCCCGAGUAAAGGCCUGUUACAUUAUGAUUGCCCUGACAAUCAUGGCUUGCUUUGCUGUGACUGCCUCUGAUAAAAGGGCUGUUGAACGCCAUGAAUCCCUCACAAGCUGGAACUUAGAAAGUCAAGUGGCGUGAAGAGGCUGCAACAAGAGCAGAGGAAAAGGCAAAAUAAGAGGCAUCUGCUCUUGAAACUGUAGCUGUGCUGGGAACGAAGAAAACACACAAAAUUGGCAAGUUAGCAAAAGAGAUACCCUCCAGGGAAAACACU